GGGACAGAAAAACUAAGAGUAACAGAUGGGAUAGAAUGAGAGAUACUGGUGAGAUGGAAAUUAAGGUGUCAAGCUGCAAAACAGGAAGCAGAGCCAACUUUAAAUGGCAGGAAAUACAGCCAAGUGCCAGGGCACUGUAUCCAGAGAAUAUAGUGCUGGUGGGCACUAGUUAUCAUCAGGAAAAAGAAGAAAUGGGGAAGAGAGAGAGAGGGAGGCCAUCAACCGAAUCUAGAACAUUUCAUUUCUCAUUUAAAAAAAGAGAGAGAUCGAUCUAAUGCAAACACAGCAAAAUGAGAAUAUUUGUUAAAUCUGGGUGGUGGAUGCCAGUGUAUAUAAUAAACCAGUGGUUCUCCAACUUGGGUCCCCAGACCACCAGCAUCGAUAUCACUUGGAAACUUGUGAGAAAUGCAAAUUCUCAGACUCCACCCAAGACCUACUGAAUCGCAAACUCUGGAAAUGGAACUCAACAAUAUGUGUUUCAGAAUUCUACAUCCUGAGACAAUCAGAUUCUACUAUAACAGGCCAGGAAAGAAGGAAAGAGUGAAAGGAUGGAAUUCCCAGAUACUCCUUCCUCCUGCCUUGUUCCCCAGCAGCAUUCAGAGCAGGUGUUAACCGAUGCACUUCUUUCCUGAGGUUUCACUUUGUGGGAUGUGCAGAGCCAAACUUAGCCUAGAAGACCACCCCGUCUCUCGCUGAUGUGCCUUGACUCUAUGACUCGGUGUCCUGGGCGAAAACUGCCUCCACUGGUCGUGGGAGCUGUUCCUGGGGUGACGUGCACAGGUUUGAGUCCUCACUUGCCCCCGUGUCUCACUCCAUUUUUGCUGGAACGCAGCAAGAGCUUCAAAAGAUGGGCCUGAAAGUGGAUAUUCCUGAGAAUUAGAAACAAAUCACAGCAGGGAACUAACAACAUAAAAAUACUUCACACUGUGAGGAAUUGAAGCAAGAGUUCCUGUUGUGAUGUACACAAUGGACACAGCAUGUGAGAGGCUAUUAAAAAAAAAAAAACUGGAAGAUAAAGUAUGUCUUUGAGAAACAACUUCUAAAAACCACAGAGAACCCAAAUGUCUCAUAAGCAGAGAGUGUAACUGCCACACGAAAACCUCUGGGGUUGAAAUAGUGAAUCUGUGGAAUAAGUUGAAAGUUUGAAUCCCGAAGUAAGUUUUGCUGCAACUUGCCCCAUCUCCUGGUGCUCAUAAAUCCCUCUUGGUGCAACCAAAAGUCCUCCUGCUUCCAUCAGUUCCCAAGAACUGCUUGGCCAAGGUUACCAAGUCCAUUCCAAGAUCACUUAAGUACAUAAAACUGGAUGAGGAAGAAGUGGGAGCUGCUGUACACUAACCCAAUAAAGAUUCUCUUUCUACUCUGAUCCCAGCUUAGUUUACACCUGGAUGGACUGCAGAAUGUCCCAGAUAUCACUUGUAUCUUUGAAGAAGAGUUUUGUUACAUUAUUUCUACACCAGUGUGAUAAAAAUCUUCUCAAGAAUUGUACUGUCAAUAUCUUCUUGCAUUCAAUUAUUCUUCCUAGGCUUUUGAACCACAAUAUGUCUGUGGGGAUUGAGAGAAGCUCUGAAAUUAGAGACUGUACUUAAGAUUUUUCAUUGCACCAGAAAUCAACUCCAGUUAACUUGAACAGCAGAAAAGAAUUAUUGAAACAGGUAAGAAGUGCUCAUAGUAUCAACAAGAAAGCUGAACAACAAGACCAGACAGGUCCAACAUGAUAAGACAAAGCCAAGAUCAGCCCCAGUCAUGGCUGCUUGGGACUUCACCUCUGACACCGCUGCCUCUCAGCACUUUCCACCAGACACUGGCUUCUAGACUCCACAGCAACCACCCGGAACUCUUUUACUGACCCUGUACCUUCAAGUCAAUUCUUUAAGAUCCAGAGUUCUAGGCAGAAGCAUCCAAUUAGACACUUUUGUGUCAGCUGUCCAGGCUCUGGCUGUCAGGACAAUGAAGAGAGAAAUACCUACCCCUCCAUCAGUUUUUAUAAUAAGAAAUUAGGCUGUUUCUCACCUGCCGUUGGAUUCUGCCUAAGUAAGAAUGAUUAUAGGAAGCUGGUCAACCAAAACAACAAAACUACAGAACCCAUGGGUGGGUGUUACAGAGGAAUAGUGUCACUUCAUUCAGUUAAACAGGACGUUGGGAUGAAUGGGUUGGAGAAUCAGUGAGCUAACAUAGGGUAGGGAAAAUGAAAUUUAUGUGUAUUGGAAUAUAUGUUGAUUAUCAGAAUUUCAGAGGGGAAUACAUGAUUUAAUGUUCAAAUGAUUUAAUUUUUUUUAUUUUUAAUACUGGAAACAAACAUUCAGUUGAAUGAACAAUGUGAACAUAACAUUGAAUCUCAUGGAAUACAGCAUUUGGAAAUGCUAUAUUUGGAAAUCUUAUGUACAUGAAGGUGAGGUAGGAGAAAUUUUAAAUUGAGGGACACUCACCAUAGAAAAAAGUAAUUAUGAAAUUAAAAUGGCAAUUUUCAGAAAUAUGAUAUCUCAGAAAGUAUUCACUUGUUAUACCCUUUUCAGAAAGACUCUAUGGCAUGUACUACACCAAAAAAGAAAAUAAACCAAGCAAGUGGAAAGCAUAGGAAAUAGAAAACAAUGCAUAUUAGGAGAACACUGGGAGGAAUUCCUAGGAUGAGGGUAAAAGAAGAUGCCAGGGCACAGCCAUGCAACAGACCUAGACAGCUAUCAUCUCAUGGAGGAUAGACAUAAACCACCAGAUACUAGAGCUAAAACAAAAUCAAGUACCUCGAGGAGAAGAAAUCAAGGAUAAGGAGAGUGAAGGAUGAAAUCAGGCAUGAGCUUAACUCCACCCACAGGCGAGUUUCCCAGUGGUCACCUCAGGUAUCCCUUAAAGUUAACAACAAGAAAGCCAAUUAGAUAAUUACAAAUAUGCCUUCAGUAUACUAAUUACCUAAUACUUCAUACUGGUCAGUUACUUACAAGCUAAAUUUCUAUCUCUGAAAAGAAGAGAGCCACUAAAUACUCCUGAGGUCCUCCUGAUGCUUUUUCUCCUGAUCAGAAGUAGGUUCACAGCUAGUUGCCAUUCCUUCAACACAUCUUUGAACUUCAGCUUGUCCUUUUCCCUGUGGCCUCCAUUGACAGAUAAUUUUGGUUUGAGGUGAUAUUAAAUACAUUUGAUGAUUAAUAUGGCAUACAACUUGAUAGCUAGCAGGGACCCCAGCCCCACUGCAAAAGUGGGAGUGUCUAGGCUGCCUGCCAGACCAGGUAUUAAUUGUUUGAUCAUUGGACUGUGGGGAGCUCCUGAGGAUUCCAGGGGUGGCCAGGGCAAGGGUAGGGGCCAUGCAGGAGGCUUCACCGUGCUAGUACAAACCAACCAGUAUCAGCUCUAUCUCAGGAUUCUCAGCACUUAGCAGCUGGGCUAAGGUGGGAAUGGCCAUAUUUAAUGCAGGUCUGAAUCAUCUAUAGUUCGGAUCUGACUCAGACCAGCACCACGAUUUUGGCACUUCUAUCGGGAGAUGUGGGCAAUGAACACUCUUUGUGUAUCACGAAUGUUCACUAGUCUGCAGAAUGGCACAGUAUCUUUUUGGUUUUCACUAGUUUGUUAUUUUUCACUGUUAUGCUAUCUCCACCUAUUACCAAAGGCAUUUUUGGUUCUUCAGUGAUGAAUCCCCAUUGUCUAGAAUAGUUCUAGGCACAUAGGAGUCACUCAGUGAAUGAAUCACUGUGGCUUCUAGGAAACAGGAAAGGUAUCUUGCGCAGAGAAAAGAUGUGAAGGGAAAUCUAAAGAGAGUUCCUGGAAUUCUGAUACUAUCUUGAGGAGUGCUGUAUCUAGAUGACAGCACUCUGGGGAUGCCAUUCUCUUCUCAAAUGGCAAGACUGUGCAAAUCCAAGAGAAUCUUAGAAACCCAGAUGUGUUAAGA